rnacentral:rRNA from 1 species
UACAGAGGGUGCAAGCGUUAAUCGGAAUUACUGGGCGUAAAGCGUGCGUAGUCGGUUAUCUAAGUCAGGUGUGAAAUCCCCGGGCUCAACCUGGGAAUUGCAUUUGAUACUGGAUAGCUAGAGUUCGGCAGAGGGAAGUGGAAUUUCUGGUGUAGCGGUGAAAUGCGUAGAUAUCAGAAGGAACAUCAGUGGCGAAAGCGACUUCCUGGACCAGAACUGACGAUCAGGCACGAAAGCGUGGGGAGCAAACGGG